rnacentral:rRNA from 1 species
GUAAGCGAGCGCAGGCGGUUUGAUAAGUCUGAUGUGAAAGCCUUUGGCUUAACCAAAGAAGUGCAUCGGAAACUGUCAGACUUGAGUGCAGAAGAGGACAGUGGAACUCCAUGUGUAGCGGUGGAAUGCGUAGAUAUAUGGAAGAACACCAGUGGCGAAGGCGGCUGUCUGGUCUGCAACUGACGCUGAGGCUCGAAAGCAUGGGUAGCGAACAGGAUUAGAUACCCUGGUAGUCCAUGCCGUAAACGAUGAGUGCUAGGUGUUGGAGGGUUUCCGCCCUUCAGUGCCGCAGCUAACGCAUUAAGCACUCCGCCUGGGGAGUACGACCGCAAGGUUGAAACUCAAAGGAAUUGACGGGGGCCCGCACAAGCGGUGGAGCAUGUGGUUUAAUUCGAAGCUACGCUAAGAACCUUACCAGGUCUUGACAUCAUGCGCC